GCCCUUCGUCAGUGUGUAUGUCUCUCGCUGGAAUAUUUGAGGGGUGCCUUGUGUUUCAUGAGGUCUGAAAUCAACAACAUUAUAAUGUGCUUAUAGUUGUUCCUCCACACAGGAAAUUAUAUACUGGUGUUUUUAUGUAUUUAAAAACAUCUCUGAUCUAAAACUGCAGGCCUUGCUCAUUAUGAACAUUUAUUUGAUUUGAUUUUUUUUGCUGUAAACAUAAUAAUAGGGUUGUGCAUGUGCAUUGCACAUGUACAGGUAGAUGUGAGGUUCUGCCUGAUUCUCUUUUAUACUGAAUAAAUUGGAGCGGCUGUGCUGAAAACUCACACAGCAGUGUAAACACACAAAGACACACUGAUGUAAUCAGCACUGACAGCGGAGGCUCACAGAUCAGAGACUGAAGCGAGAGAAUGAGUGAUGAUAGUGGGAAUGGAGUUUAUAGCUUUAUAUUAAAAUAGCACAGAGACAUGGUGGAACAGACACAGAGACCACAGAAUAAGACUGAUAGAGUGAGUCUGUGGUAGGCAGGCUGAAGCAGAGUGAGGCACGUAAGCUGUGUAGUGUUGUGAGCAUUGCGUUGUGUUGCGGAGUGUGGUGAUAUGUUGUGCCGUUGUAUAAUGUGUUUCGCUCUGUUGCUCUGUGAUGUUCUGCAUUGCCCUGAGCUGUGAUGUGCUGCUAUGUGAUGAGUUGUACUGUGUUGCCCUGUAGUGUUGUGUAUUGCACUCUGAUGUUAUGUAAUGUGAUUUGUGUAUUAUUAUUUGUCUGUGGUGUACGGUGGUGUACUAUGUUCUAUGUUAUGCUGUGAUGUGUUGCGCUGUUACGUGCUGUUAUGUAAUGUGAUGUGAUUUGUGUUGUUAUUAUUAUAUUUGUCUGCGGUGUAUGGUGGUGUGUUGUAUUGUUAUGCUUUACUGUACUUUGCUGGGAUGUGAUGUAUUGUGUUGUUAUUAUUAUAUUUGUCUGCGGUGUAUGGUGGUGUGUUGUAUUGUUAUGCUUUACUGUACUUUGCUGGGAUGUGAUGUAUUGUGCCAUGCCCUAUCAUGAUGUAAUAUAUUACAGUGUUGUUAUGUGAUGUGAUGGGAUGUGAUGUGCUUUUAUGUGAUGUGAUGUGAUGUGAUGUGAUGUGAUGUGAUGUGAUGAUGUGAUGUGAUGUGAUGUGAUGUGAUGUGAUGUGAUGAUGUGAUGUGAUGUGAUGUGAUUAUGAUGUGCUGUGCUGUAAUGUAAUGUGAUGCGAUGUGAUUUGUGUUGUUAUUAUUAUAUUUGUCUGUGGUGUAUGGUGGUGUGUUGUAUUGUUAUGCUUUACUGUACUUUGCUGGGAUGCGAUGUACUGUGCCAUGCCCUAUCAUGAUGUGAUAUAUUACACUGUGUUGUUAUGUGAUGUGAUGUGCUGUUUUAAUAUAUUUGUCUGUUGUGUAUACUAUACUGUACUAUGCUGGGAUGUGUUGUGCUAUAACAUGUAACACAUUUAGGUGAUUAUAGGUGAUUAUAACAUCAGUUGAAGGUUACAAAAAUGUUUCUAAAACCAUUGUUCUAACUUUUUUUCCCAC
ensembl:lncRNA